UUAGGAAUUUUGCGCAAUGGGGGAAACCCUGACGCAGCAAUACCGCGUGGGCGAUGAAGGCCUUCGGGUUGUAAAGCCCUUUUAGUUGGGAAGAAAAAAAUGACGGUACCAACAGAAAAAGCACCGGCUAACUCUGUGCCAGCAGCCGCGGUAAUACAGAGGGUGCGAGCGUUAUUCGGAAUUACUGGGCGUAAAGAGAGUGUAGGCGGUUUGAUAAGUCUGAUGUGAAAGCCCUAGGCUUAACCUAGGAAGUGCAUUGGAUACUGUUAGACUAGAGUAUGAGAGAGGAAAGCGGAAUUCCUGGUGUAGAGGUGAAAUUCGUAGAUAUCAGGAGGAACAACGGAGGCGAAGGCGGCUUUCUGGAUCAUAACUGACGCUAAGGCUCGAAAGCGUGGGUAGCAAACA
rnacentral:rRNA from 1 species